ACGUCCUCUUCCCAGACGAUCGGGGUCGGCAUCCGCACCAGCGCCUUGGCCAGCACUUCGUCCAUCCGCGCGACCGGGAUGAUCUCCAUGCCGCCCUUGAUGGCGUCGGAAAUCUCCGUGAGGUCCUUGGCGUUGUGACCGUCUUGACGCCGCCACGCGCGGCCGCAAGCAGCUUCUCCUUCAGACCGCCAAUCGGCAGCACCCGGCCCCGGAGCGUGAUCUCGCCGGUCAUGGCGACAUCAUGCCA
rnacentral:misc_RNA from 1 species